rnacentral:lncRNA from 1 species
UUGGAAUAGAAGGAUGAUUCCACCAGCAUCGGUGUGAGCCCUGAGGCCUUUAAUCAAAUCAGGCUUGGGACAUGGUGGAUAGUUGCUAACUUUGGUGCCAAAAGUAGGACCCUUUGAACCAUAAAAGGCUUUCUUCAGGUAACCUUGCUCCAGUCCUAGAUUUUCACACAGCAAGUCCAAAAGUUGCUCAGCUAAUUUCUCUAGCUUUUCAGCAAACUCCUUCAUGAUUUUCCUGUCAUGUUUCAUGUAAAGUCAGCAAAUCAAAGGUUGAAUUCAGGAUCUAGAGCGUGAGUUUGUUUUGAUUCUACGUAUAAUUUUUUUUAUGCGCAGGUUGCGGUGAAGGGCCGAACCCACUAGAGUCUAUUACAUGCAGGUAGCAUUUCUGCAAGAGGCUACUUCCAUGGAUCGAAAAACAAUAAUUCAGUUGAACUGACAUAAAUCUGCCUCAAGUAGAAGCAAAUCCAAAGGGGAAAACAAAUCCAUUAAAUUAAAUCUUGUGGUCCAACAUAUGCACAGGUUAAAAGUUGGAAGUGAAAAAUCCCAGAUAGUUGGAGCAGAAUUAGAGAUCCUUUGACCU